rnacentral:sRNA from 1 species
CCUCUAGUUGACACUUGCUCCCUGUCUUUUAAAGAUCACCUCAGCUCUAAUAUUUCCAGAUGCUAGUGAAUGUUUCUAAGUCAGUUUGCUACUGAAGAUCUCUACCGGCAAAUUAUUUUUACAUCGGCCCCCAGAAUUGGCACCGCACAGCAUGCUAUGUGUACAUAUCUUGGCUUCUGAACAAGAAGGACCACAAGGAACAGCCUACGCUGUUGAAGCAGUUGUAGACUAUCUGUUAUUAAUGCUGAGAGCUCAUCUCUGACUCCAGUGGCCUCUACCCAGGCUCUCCAUCCACAAAGGACAAGAACUGCCCAGCGCUUACUUUUCCAGAAAGCAGACGCCACAGAAGGCACUGUUUCUACCUUGCCUGGCAAAGAUCAUUGGAAAAUGAAUGGUAACUGACAUUGUUGGAAACACUUCCCUUUUCAGAUCCAUGAAAGGCGUUGGGUUCUGAGAUGCAAGCGAGAUCUCCCACCCCGCCCCCCCAAAAAACCCAAAAUAGCUUUAAAAUAUUAAAUAAAUAAGAACAACCUGGCACUUUAGCAUUCUGAAAUAUGUUCACAUCAUUCUCUGACAACUUAAUUAAGAUAUAAAAUGUAAACAAGAAAACACAUUCAUUGUAGAGGAGAUUUGACAGACAGGUACAGUCAUCCUAAUAUGGGCACAAGGAAUUUCCCUCAGCCCAGGAUACCACUCCUCGUCCCGGCUCACCCAGAUCCCCACUUCCAACGUCAGGGUAGCCACUGAUCCGAUCCCACCACCAGAAAUUAGUUUGCCCUGUAUGAGAAUUCACGUCAGUGACAGGUUCUCUUUCGUGCUGGGCUCUGCUUCUUUGCCAGUGAGAGCCUCAGCCUGGCUAGCAUCUUGGCAGUCGGUUUACUUUUACAGGCAAGGCGUUCUUACUUGUGUGGAGAAACUAUCAUGUUGGAUUCCUUUCAGCUUGGCGUCACAGCGCUCGGGGACCCAGGCAGUGUGGCCCUGGUGAGGUUCAGGUGGGAGGAGGCGUAGGUGGGCUCCAUGAGCCAGGACCGUAAACAUCAGUUACUCCAGCAUCAUCACAUAACAAAAGACCUCGAGAAAACAAUCCCACCAAAUGACUGGUGCGUUUCACCAUCUCUCCCAUCAGAUGCUCCGAGCGUUUUCUUUGGCUGCGUCCACUGAGGCCACAUUCACUCUCCAUUUUUGAUUCAGGGUCCUAGCCACUGAGAGUCAGGCCUGCACAGCCAUCCAUUUGGGCACAUGCAUGUCAAAGGGGCUAUAUAUCAUGACAUCAGACAUUUUGAGAAAAUUGCUUUUCCACCCUGAACGCCAAGUCAUAAAUAAUUUCAGGGUAGGAAGAGUUCUGGUAAGCAUGUGUUUGACGCCCAAGGAAUGGUCUGUAAAUACCGCAAGCCAUCGAAUAAAAAAUGAGGGGGCGGGCAGAUUUGUGGGGUCACUUCCAAUCUGGACCCAGCUAUAACUUAUUCUACUGAAAGCUUCAGGAGCUUCCUCCAGACAGGUUUUAGCAGGGGGCGGGGGUGUGCGUGCCCAUCCCCCACCACUAGGACAUCCACUAGAUGCUGAGGGGCUCAGCACAGCUGUGUCCUUAAUCACAGACUUGACCCCCUUGGCUGGAUAGCAGCCUCCUCUUCUGGAAGGUGACUCUUCAUCCUGGAAAUGGACUAACACUGUUCCCACGCCGGUAGACACUUUCUGUGGGUUGGGUUUGAGGGAAGAAAAGGAAGGCCGCUGUUUGUGGCGUUUACCAAUUUCUGUGGUGUAAAUAUUUCUACUGGUUCCGAUUCUAAGGUUCCCACAUAAGAAAGAAUAAGAAGAUUAGAAAUACGAUAUGGAAAAAGCACGCUCAGAAAGCAAGCAAGGGGGC